rnacentral:sRNA from 1 species
UUUUAGCCCCGAUAGCAGUGAAAAUCCUUUUGUGUCUCGUUUCUUUAACGAGACACAAAAGAUUGUAACGGAUAGCGGGAAACAGC